CAGUUACAUCAUGCCAACAAAAAUUGCUCCCAUUCAGGGGCUAAAAACAUUCUUUACUUUCUCUUCUUAGGUGUGCUCUGCUCUGAUGGCUGUGUAUUUCCUUCCUGCUAGAUGUGACUGAUGGCUGCUGUGUAUUUCCUUCCUGCUAGAUGUGACUACGUUUCGUGAAUGAUCAAGAGAAUUCUGGCUGAAAGAUGGAGGAAAUUUGGCAAAUCUGAUGUCCUUUAAAAGCAACUACCGUACAAGGCACACAUGCAAAUACAGAAAUGAAAAGAUGAAUCUCCAUAUUCUCACACUGUACAAGCAACAUUAGUUAAUUCAACAUGACAAGCUAUAUGAAGUAUCUGGCACUUCCUUGGGCUUUGGAGUCUACCAUGGUAGUUCUCCAUUCUCUUUCCUCCUGGUAUCUCAUGGCUGGAAACACUGCUUUGCCUGGAUCCAGUACUAAUGUUGACCUUUUCAGGAUUUGCUCAAAAGGAUAUUUGUUAAGCAUUUCCACUGCUAGUGAUGAAAAUCUGAAAUAGGGAGGCGUAAUAUUCUCUCUACACCUCAUCCAUACCAACCCUGGCUGGCUAGAUAUGGAAAAAGUCUUCUCAUGAUCAGUACUGCUGAAGACUAAGCUAAGUGGAAUGAUACACAACCUUGCCCUUCUGUAUUUUCAGGGGUUGGUAAAGAACUGUGUAAACUGUGUGUGGAUUUUAUUCCAUAUUUUCAUGUAAGGCUAUAUUCUAUGGUGAUUCAUUUUGCUAUGAAAAGCUAUCUGCAGAAGAGUUAAAUUAGAGGUGUCCAGGUAAGAAAAAGUACAUAUUUUAAAUAGGUCUGGAGCUAAUUAACAUGCCAAAAUACUGACAGCUAAAACUUGUUGUGAGACCUCAUAACAACUUUUCAUGGAUACAACCAGUGGUGCAGAACAAGGAGUUUUGAUCUUUUGCUUACAAAAAUACUGUUAACUUAUAGAGUCUGAGAAAUGUUUCCCAAACAAAGAAUUUACAGCUCCACCCUAGCUUAUGAGGGAAAGAUCAUGAAAAUUGCAUUAUUCUUCAAAUGCUCAGAUUCCAAAGGUUUGGUAACUAGUUCCCUGUGGUGGUAAUGCUCCUAUUUCUACAUGGAAUUUGUAUUCUAGACUUACAUCAAAUUUGUAUAUAGAAUGAAUUGAGUGAAUGAUUUGUAAGAAGAACUUUUUGUUGUCAAAAUGCAAUGAAUAUUUCAUGAUUCAAAUUCAAAGCAAAGCAACCAUAAAUUUAAAAUACCAAGUUUUGCUGUGACACAUAAAAACCGUUCAUCAUAACUGUUAAAUACAAAGCAUAUUCACUCCUGGUAAGAACCAUAAAUAUGACAAGAAGUCCCAGAAAGAAAGUUGUAGUUAUGGUUAAGAAGUGGUGUACGGAAUGAAUACAACAAAAUUCCUCCUGAGUGUUUCAAAUAAUGCUAUCUUCCCUGCAUUUCAUUGGCUUCAAGAUUUGCAAAUCAGUCAGGGACGCCAAAACUCAAAUACUGUCAUUGCAUCCCCAGGC
rnacentral:lncRNA from 1 species